rnacentral:piRNA from 1 species
UGCACAACUGAUCUACAGAAUGUGAGU